rnacentral:rRNA from 1 species
AGCUCGUGGUGACAGCGGAGGAUCAUUAAAGAGUUUUUUAACUCCUAAAACCAUGUGAAUUUACCUAUGUUGCCUCGGCGGGGAAACCUACCCGGGGGCUGCUCUGAGUGGCCUACCCCGGUACCUACCCGGUAGCUACGCUGUAGUUGUAGGCUUACCCGCCGGCGGACCAUUCAAACUCUUAGUUUUCUGGCAAUUCUGAAUUAUUAUCAUAAUAAGUUAAAACUUUCAACAACGGAUCUCUUGGUUCUGGCAUCGAUGAAGAGCGCAGCGAAAUGCGAUAAGUAAUGUGAAUUGCAGAAUUCAGUGAAUCAUCGAAUCUUUGAACGCACAUUGCGCCCAUUAGUAUUCUAGUGGGCAUGCCUGUUCGAGCGUCAUUUCAACCCUUAAGCCCCUGUUGCUUAGCGUUGGGAGCCUACAGAAAUCCUCUGUAGUUCCUUAAAGCUAGUGGCGGAGUCGGUUUCAUACUCUAGACGUAGUAAAUUUUAUCUCGCCUAUAGAUGAGCCGGUCCCCUGCCGUAAAACCCCCUAAUUUCUAAAGGUUGACCUCGGAUCAGGUAGGAAUACCCGCUGAACUUAAGCAUAUCAAUAAGCGGAGGA